GGGCGUAUGGCUUAGCUGGUUAAAGCGCCACACUCACAUUGUGGAGAUCGAAGGUUCGAAUCCUUCUACGCCCACCA
rnacentral:tRNA from 1 species